rnacentral:lncRNA from 1 species
CGACCAAAUCAUCUCAAGCGUCCAACCCUAUUGGAAGUUUAGGCUGAAUUUUUGCUUGGGCUAGCUGGCCUUCAGCUUGAAGCUUAGCGGUAAAGCAUUAUCGAGCCAUGGCCUGAUUGCCUCGGAUUUGCCCCACUCCAUCCUUGGUUGGAAACUUUAUCAUCUGGUGGUAGCUUGAUACAAUGGCUUUUAAAGUCCAUAAGUUCAGAUGGCCAAGAAUUGCGUUGU